UACCACCUUUUAAAGAGUGCCCUGGG
rnacentral:piRNA from 1 species